AUUGAAUUUGGUUGCUUCCUUGUAAAACGAAGAUUCGUCAAUUCAACCAGGGGAACCGGAAAACCGUCACGGUUUUACGUAACCGUCAGGAAUAUGGAUACCUGGGGCGCAGCUAAAUCGGCCUGAAAUAAACAGACGUCUUCAUAAUCAAAUUGGUGAUCGUGGCCGUCAGCUGCUGAACAUUCAACAGCUCGGAAGCGGUGAACGAAGUAACGUCGGACCACAGGAUAUAUACGGAACAUACCGUAUUAUUGCAACAACAAAAGUGGAUUGAGAUAAUCCGUCGGAAAUCGUUGCGGGAUAACCUCGCCACAACGGGAAUCCAUUGGGGAUUCCGGCAGGAAUUCGAAUAA